CCUACGGGAGGCAGCAGUGGGGAAUAUUGCACAAUGGGCGGAAGCCUGAUGCAGCAACGCCGCGUGCGGGAUGACGGCCUUCGGGUUGUAAACCGCUUUCGCCUGUGACGAAGCGUGAGUGACGGUAAUGGGUAAAGAAGCACCGGCUAACUACGUGCCAGCAGCCGCGGUGAUACGUAGGGUGCGAGCGUUGUCCGGAUUUAUUGGGCGUAAAGGGCUCGUAGGUGGUUGAUCGCGUCGGAAGUGUAAUCUUGGGGCUUAACCCUGAGCGUGCUUUCGAUACGGGUUGACUUGAGGAAGGUAGGGGAGAAUGGAAUUCCUGGUGGAGCGGUGGAAUGCGCAGAUAUCAGGAGGAACACCAGUGGCGAAGGCGGUUCUCUGGGCCUUUCCUGACGCUGAGGAGCGAAAGCGUGGGGAGCGAACUGGCUUAGAUACCCUGGUAGUCCACGCUGUAAACGGUGGGUACUAGGUGUGGGGUCCAUUCCACGGGUUCCGUGCCGUAGCUAACGCUAUAAGUACCCCGCCUGGGGAGUACGGCCGCAAGGCUAAAACUCAAAGGAAUUGACGGGGCCCCGCACAAGCGGCGGAGCAUGCGGAUUAAUUCGAUGCAACGCGUAGAACCUUACCUGGGUUUGACAUGGAUCGGGAGCGCUCAGAGAUGGGUGUGCCUCUUUUGGGGUCGGUUCACAGGUGGUGCAUGGCUAUCGUCAGCUCGUGUCGUGAGAUGUUGGGUUAAGUCCCGCAACGAGCGCAACCCUUGUUCACUGUUGCCAGCACGUUAUGGUGGGGACUCAGUGGAGACCGCCGGGGUCAACUCGGAGGAAGGUGGGGAUGACGUCAAGUCAUCAUGCCCCUUAUGUCCAGGGCUUCACGCAUGCUACAAUGGCUGGUACAGAGAGUGGCGAGCCUGUGAGGGUGAGCGAAUCUCGGAAAGCCGGUCUCAGUUCGGAUUGGGGUCUGCAACUCGACCUCAUGAAGUCGGAGUCGCUAGUAAUCGCAGAUCAGCAACGCUGCGG
rnacentral:rRNA from 1 species